rnacentral:lncRNA from 1 species
UUAGAUGGAGCAUGUGGAUACGAAAGGUUUUGGAUUGGAGUAGCGCCCACUACCUCCUUUCCUUUAGAAGCUCUAGAAUUCCUCUCUCUUUUCUUUUUUACUCCCUCCACCUUCACUUCAUCACUCUUAUUUUUUUCAACUUCCACACUUUCUUUAUUUUCUACUUCACCAUUUUUUUCAUUCUUUUCAACUUCUUCAUCCACCUUCACUUCAUCACUCUUAUUUUUUUCAACUUCCACACUUUCUUUAUUUUCUACUUCACCAUUUUUUUCAUUCU